rnacentral:rRNA from 1 species
GACGAACGCUGGCGGCGUGCUUAACACAUGCAAGUCGAACGGAAAGGCCCUGCUUUUGUGGGGUGCUCGAGUGGCGAACGGGUGAGUAACACGUGAGUAACCUGCCCUUGACUUUGGGAUAACUUCAGGAAACUGGGGCUAAUACCGGAUAGGAGCUCCUGCUGCAUGGUGGGGGUUGGAAAUUUUCGGCGGUUGGGGAUGGACUCGCGGCUUAUCAGCUUGUUGGUGGGGUAGUGGCUUACCCAGGCUUUGACGGGUAGCCGGCCUGAGAGGGUGACCGGCCACAUUGGGACUGAGAUACGGCCCAGACGCCUACGGGAGGCAGCAGGGGGGAAUAUUGCACAAUGGGCGGAAGCCUGAUGCAGCAACGCCGCGGGCGGGAUGACGGCCUGCGGGGUGUAAACCGCUGUCGCCUGUGACGAAGCGUGAGUGACGGUAAUGGGUAAAGAAGCACCGGCUAACUACGUG